ACCGCGUGAGCGAUGAAGGCCUUCGGGUCGUAAAGCUCUGUCCUAAGGGAAGAAUAUUGACGGUACCUUAGGAGGAAGCCCCGGCUAACUACGUGCCAGCAGCCGCGGUAAUACGUAGGGGGCGAGCGUUGUCCGGAAUCACUGGGCGUAAAGGGUUCGUAGGCGGCUCUAUAAGUCAGAUGUGAAAGCCUUCGGCUCAACCGGAGUAAGCAUUUGAAACUGUAGGGCUUGAGUACAGGAGAGGAGAGUGGAAUUCCUAGUGUAGCGGUGAAAUGCGUAGAUAUUAGGAGGAACACCAGUGGCGAAGGCGACUCUCUGGACUG
rnacentral:rRNA from 1 species